rnacentral:rRNA from 1 species
UACGUAGGGGGCGAGCGUUGUCCGGAUUUAUUGGGCGUAAAAGGCUUGUAGGUGGCCACGCCAAGUCGGAUGUGAAAUCUCCCGGCUCAACUGGGAGGGGUCAUUCGAUACUGGCGGGCUCGAGGCCGGUAGGGGGAAGCGGAAUUCCCGGUGUAGUGGUGGAAUGCGUAGAUAUCGGGAGGAACACCAGUGGCGAAGGCGGCUUCCUGGACCGGUUCUGACACUGAGGAGCGAAAGCGUGGGGAGCGAACAGG